rnacentral:rRNA from 1 species
CGAGUGGCGAACGGGUGAGUAAUAUAUCGGAACGUGCCCAUUAGAGGGGGAUAGCCCGGCGAAAGCCGGAUUAAUACCGCAUACGACCUGAGGGUGAAAGCGGGGGAUCGCAAGACCUCGCGCUAUUGGAGCGGCCGAUAUCAGAUUAGCUAGUUGGUGGGGUAAAGGCCUACCAAGGCAACGAUCUGUAGUUGGUCUGAGAGGACGACCAGCCACACUGGGACUGAGACACGGCCCAG